GACGACCGCUGGCGGCGUGCUUAACACAUGCAAGUCGAACGGAAAGGCCCUGCUUUUGUGGGGUGCUCGAGUGGCGAACGGGUGAGUAACACGUGAGUAACCUGCCCUUGACUUUGGGAUAACUUCAGGAAACUGGGGCUACUACCGGAUAGGAGCUCCUGCUGCAUGGUGGGGGUUGGAAAGUUUCGGCGGUUGGGGAUGGACUCGCGGCUUAUCAGCCUGUUGGUGGGGUAGUGGCUUACCAAGGCUUUGACGGGUAGCCGGCCUGAGAGGGUGACCGGCCACAUUGGGACUGAGAUACGGACAAGACUGCUACGGGAGGCAGCAGUGGAGAAUAUUGCACAAUGGGCGGAAGCCUGAUGCAGCAACGCCGCGUGCGGGAUGAUGGCCUUCGGGGUGUAAACCGCUUUCGCCUGUGACGAAGCGUGAGUGACGGUAAUGGGUAAAGAAGCACCGGCUAACUACGUG
rnacentral:rRNA from 1 species